rnacentral:rRNA from 1 species
AGCGAACGCUGGCGGCAGGCUUAACACAUGCAAGUCGAGCGGGCAUCUUCGGAUGUCAGCGGCAGACGGGUGAGUAACACGUGGGAACGUACCCUUCGGUUCGGAACAACUCUGGGAAACUGGAGCUAAUACCGGAUACGCCCUUAUGGGGAAAGGUUUACUGCCGAAGGAUCGGCCCGCGUCUGAUUAGCUAGUUGGUGGGGUAACGGCCUACCAAGGCGACGAUCAGUAGCUGGUCUGAGAGGAUGAUCAGCCACACUGGGACUGAGGCACGGCCCAGACUCCUACGGGAGGCAGCAGUGGGGAAUAUUGGACAAUGGGCGCAAGCCUGAUCCAGCCAUGCCGCGUGAGUGGUGAAGGCCUUAGGGUUGUAAAGCUCUUUUGUCCGGGACGAUAAUGACGGUACCGGAAGAAUAAGCCCCGGCUAACUUCGUG